CUUAGCAUCUUUUUGUUGCACAGGGCUCUGUGGAGGUCAUGUGUCUCUGAUACCCCCCUAACCCUCUGUACUGCUCUGGAACUAUCCCAGGAAAGGAGGUGACCACCUUAUCUUAAAUAUCACUGCAGGAAGAAAUUUUCUGACACACACCGAUGCUAUGUUACUGUCUCUCCUAAGUCAGGGAGGUAUCGCUUUGUUUGCAUAAUGUUAUGGUCUUUGUUCUCAUCAGACAAAACAACUGCUGGCCUAUGACUAGUUCUCUGUCACCUUUAUACUGAAGUUUUGCUCUCAAUAAUGAUAAUCACUCUUCAAAGAACUGAAGUACCUGUAUUGUAGGACAAGAAGUAGGGAAUUAAGAUCUGCCAUUUGCUCAUUUGGUUAUUCUUAAGAAUUUUAGGUUCUUAAUUUGACUAACAUGCUACUAUAUGUUUGUGGUGGUGGAGACAUUAAGAAUGUUUGAAAAAGGGAGUAAGUUUGACUGUUCCUCUUCUAAUCUUUUGUGUUUAGAUUGGAAUAGAAGGACUCUGACUUUAUUUUGUAAUGGGAGGAAGAAAUUUUCCCAGAGCAAACUUCGUUUUUCACCUAUGAAGUAACAAUGACUUUAAAAAAAUGGUAAUAGUGUUGGCAAGGAAACAGUGAGACCAGUGAACAUCUUUGGGAAGGUGUCUUCUUAGCUGUGGAAAUAUACUUGAACAUCACUGAGUCAAAGGGUGUUUGCAGUUUGGAUUAUAAAAAAUGCUGGGGAAUUGCCUCCUGUAAAGGCUCUGAAUUUACAGCAGCUAACAGGAGAAAAAUGCUUGUGCCCCGCAAUUCUGACUGUCAGGUUGGGGCCCACGGCAGUGGAACAUUUUGAUAGGAAUUUUCUAUAGAUACAAUUCAGAUCAUGAUGAGGGGAAAAGAGCAAGAGUAAGAACAAUGCCCAGAGGAAGAACAGACCUGAACGUAUCUCCUGGCGGCC